rnacentral:rRNA from 1 species
AGCUCGUGUCGUGAGAUGUUGGGUUAAGUCCCGCAACGAGCGCAACCCUUAUUGUUAGUUGAUACAUUUAGUUGAUCACUCUAGCGAGACUGCCGUUGACAAAACGGAGGAAGGUGGGGACGACGUCAAAUCAUCAUGCCCCUCAUGACCUGGGCUAUACACGUACUACAAUGGUAGUCAUACAGAGGGAAGCAAUACAGUGAUGUGGAGCAAACCCCUAAAAGCUAUCUCAGUUCAGAUUGUAGGCUGCAACUCGCCUACAUGAAGUCGGAAUUGCUAGUAAUCGCAGAUCAGCACGCUGCGGUGAAUACGUUCCCGGGCCUUGUACACACCGCCCGUCACACCAUGAGAGCCGGUAAUACCCGAAGUCCGUAGUCUAACCGCAAGGAGGACGCGGCCGAAGGUCGGACUGGUAAUUGGGGUGAAGUCGUAACAAGGUAGCCGUA